AGAGUUUGAUCAUGGCUCAGAAUCAACGCUGGCGGCGUGCCUAACACAUGCAAGUCGAACGAGAAAGUGGAGCAAUCCAUGAGUAAAGUGGCGACCGGGUGAGUAACACGUGACUAACCUACCCUAAAGUGGGGGAUAACCCCGGGAAACCGGGGCUAAUACCGCAUAACGUCGCGAGGGGAAGAUCCUUGCGAUCAAAGGAGCAAUUCGCUGAAGGAGGGGGUCGCGGCUGAUUAGUUAGUUGGUAGGGUAACGGCCUACCAAGACAAAGAUCAGUAUCCGGCCUGAGAGGGCGCACGGACACACUGGGACUGAAACACGGCCCAGACUCCUACGGGAGGCAGC
rnacentral:rRNA from 1 species